rnacentral:rRNA from 1 species
AAACCAACAGGGAUUGCCCUAGUAACGGCGAGUGAAGCGGCAACAGCUCAAAUUUGAAAUCUGGCCCUCGCGGUCCGAGUUGUAAUUUGUAGAGGAUGCUUUGGGCGCGGCGCCUUCCAAGUUCCCUAGAACGGGACGCCUUAGAGGGUGAGAGCCCCGUACGGUUGGACGCCUAGCCUAUGUAUAGCUCCUUCGACGAGUCGAGUAGUUUGGGAAUGCUGCUCUAAAUGGGAGGUAAAUUUCUUCUAAAGCUAAAUACCGGCCAGAGACCGAUAGCGCACAAGUAGAGUGAUCGAAAGAUGAAAAGUACUUUGAAAAGAGGGUUAAAUAGCACGUGAAAUUGUUGAAAGGGAAGCGUUUGCGACCAGACCUUUUCCAGGCGGAUCAUCCGGCGUUCUCGCCGGUGCACUUCGCCUGGUUUAGGCCAGCAUCGGUUUUCCCAGGGGGAUAAAGGCGGCGGGAACGUAGCUCUUUCGGGAGUGUUAUAGCCCGCCGCGUAAUACCCUUGGGGGGACCGAGGACCGCGCUUCGGCAAGGAUGCUGGCGUAAUGGUCGUCAACGAC